ensembl:snRNA U6 U6 spliceosomal RNA
GUGCUCGCUUUGGCAGUGCAUAUACUAAAAUUGGAACAAUACAGAGAAGAUUGGUAUGGCCCCUGUGCAAGGAUGAUGCGCAAAUUCGUGAAGUGUUCCGUAUUUUU